CUUAAAGAAAUUUAGUCCUCUAAAUUUGUGUACCUGAUUAUUGAAAAAGAUUUUUAAAUUUCCUAAGAAUCUUAAACCUAUUGCUCUGAUACCAUAAUUGUCACACCCCAAGAAUUUACAAUACUGAUAUUCCUGAGAUGUGGCAGUCAAAACAUAUAUAUACAUCUCUUUUUAGGACAAAUUUACAAUGACGAAUUUUUAAAAAGUAACAAAAGAAAGU
rnacentral:lncRNA from 1 species